GUCUGAAUGUCAGAGACCUUGAUAUAUGA
rnacentral:piRNA from 1 species